UGUUAAAAAAUUCAUCCAUUUCUACUGUUAAAAAUUAGUGUACCUAAUAAAAUAAUCAAACAAUUACACGUAGCAUGUCGCAUGUACAUCAUUAUGAUAUAGAGAUCAGUUUUUAAUAGUAGAGAUGGAUGAUAAUUUUAACA
rfam:Gossypium raimondii Chr01_contig_252, whole genome shotgun sequence.